rnacentral:rRNA from 1 species
GACGAACGCUGGCGGCGUGCCUAACACAUGCAAGUCAACUUGAAGGAAGGAGCAAUCUGACCUGAUGGUGGCGCAAGGGUGCGUAACGCGUAAGUAACUUGCCCAAGGUAAGGAAUAACGUCGAGAAAUCGGCGCUAAUACCUCAUAGUGCAGCGGAUCCGCAUGGAUAUGUUGUUAAAGGUUUACCGCCUUGGGAUAGGCUUGCGUCUGAUUAGCUAGUUGGUGUGGUAAUGGCGCACCAAGGCUACGAUCAGUAACUGGUCUGAGAGGAUGAUCAGUCACACUGGAACUGAGACACGGUCCAGACUCCUACGGGAGGCAGCAGUGAGGAAUAUUGGGCAAUGCACGAAAGUGUGACCCAGCAACGCCGCGUGGAGGA